GCGCAUGUUGAUCCAAGAGCUGCGGCUCCCUACCGUGGCUGCAGCUCUCCAACAACAUGCCAGAGCAACGGGAAGGUCUUUGACUGCUGGGGCCUCUCCUGCCUCUGGCUGUCACUCACCCCUCCUAUAUUA
rnacentral:snoRNA from 1 species